rnacentral:rRNA from 1 species
ACCGUGUACAAGUCUCCUGGAAGGGAGCAUCGUAGAGGGUGACAAUCCCGUCUCUGACACGGACCGCCGGCGCUAUGUGAUGCGCUCUCGACGAGUCGAGUUGUUUGGGAAUGCAGCUCAAAUAGGGUGGUAAACUCCAUCUAAAGCUAAAUACGGGCGAGAGACCGAUAGCGAACAAGUACCGUGAGGGAAAGAUGAAAAGAACUUUGGAAAGAGAGUUAAACAGUACGUGAAAUUGCUGGAAGGGAAACGCUUGACGUCAGUCGCGUCGUCCGGGGAUCAACCUUGCCCUCUGGCUGGGCGUAUUUCCCGGUCGACGGGUCAGCAUCGAUUUCGACCGUCGUAGAAGGACUGGAGCGAAUGUGGCACUCCACGGAGUGUGUUAUAGCCUCCCGUAUGGAUGCGACGGUCGGGAUCGAGGAACUCGGCACGGCCCCUCGAGGGUUCGGGGCUUCGGUCCACGCAGCGUGCCCAGGAUGCUGGCAUAAUGGCUUUAAGCGACCCGUCUUGAAACACGGACCAAGGAGUCUAACGUGCCUGCGAGUGUUUGGGUGCAAAACCCGAGCGCGAAACGAAAGUGAAAGUCGAGACCUCCGUCGCGGAGGGCACCGACGCCCGGACCGGAGCCUUUGGCGAUGGAUCUGCGGUAGAGCAUGUAUGUUGGGACCCGAAAGAUGGUGAACUAUGCCUGAAUAGGGCGAAGCCAGAGGAAACUC